AUGCUGAGUGCCGGGAUUAAAGAUGUGCAUCACUGUGCCCCUCCUGGCCUGAAAUGGAUGGAUAUUUGUGUAUGUCUGCUGCUUAUAAUCCUUCUCACUCUCAGUGUGUUAGUCCUCGAGAGCCUUUCUCUGUUUGUCCACCACAUUCCAGAUACCAGAAGACAUUUGUCACAUGAGAAAAGAUUUCUGUGUUCCCUUCUGAGAAAUCUGUAACUCGAAAAAUAAAAGACCCAGAGACUGAUAUUGGGGUUCAAACUUCAAGCUGAAAACCAGAAAAGCAAAGUAGCAGGCCACUAGCUUUACCGCUACCUCAGGCUGAAUGGACUGAUCCUGCUGCCUCUCCUCAACUUGGCUGAAGAAUUCUGAGACUGAAUGUCUUCCUAUCCUCAAUGUGGCUGGAGAAUGAAUGCUGGAUACUGACCCUGCUCCUGUUUUAUAUACCUCCUUAAUGCCGGGAUUAAAGGCCUGUGUUCCCAGGUGCUGAGAUCAUCUUUGUGUGAGCUGUUUCUCUUUAGGACUAGAUCAAUCUGUGAAGAUCUGGGUGGCCUUGGACUCACAGAGAUCCAUCUACCUCUUAAUCCUGAGUCCUAAGGUUAAAGGUGAGUGCCUGGCUUCUAUGGCUUGUGGCUGACUUUGCUUUCCUCAGGCAAGUUUUAAUAAAUCAUAAUAAUAAAUCAUAAAUAAUAUAUCACCACAGAAACCAAACUAUUA
rnacentral:lncRNA from 1 species